rnacentral:rRNA from 1 species
UACGGAGGAUGCGAGCGUUAUCCGGAUUUAUUGGGUUUAAAGGGUGCGUAGGCGGCGUGUCAAGUCAGAUGUGAAAUACCGGGGCUUAACCCCGGAGCUGCAUUUGAAACUAGGCAUGCUUGAGUUCAGGAGGGGCGAGGCGGAAUUCCUGGUGUAGCGGUGAAAUGCGUAGAUAUCAGGAGGAACACCGGUGGCGAAGGCGGCCUGCUGGACUGACACUGACGCUGAGGCACGAAAGCGUGGGGAGCAAACAGGAUUAGAUACCCU